rnacentral:rRNA from 1 species
GACGAACGCUGGCGGCGUGCCUAAUACAUGCAAGUAGAACGCUGAAGGAGGAGCUUGCUUCUCUGGAUGAUUUGCGAACGGGUGAGUAACGCGUAGGUAACCUGCCUGGUAGCGGGGGAUAACUAUUGGAAACGAUAGCUAAUACCGCAUAAUAUUAGAUGUUGCAUGACAUUUGCUUAAAAGGUGCAAUUUCAUCACUACCAGAUGGACCUCCGUUGUAUUAAGUAGUUGGUGGUGUAAAGGCUCAACAAGGCGACGAUACAUAGUCGACCUGAGAGGGGGAUCGGCCCACAUUGGAAUGGAGCAACGCCCAAGACCCCAAGGGGAGGAGCCGGAGGGAAACUUCGGGAAUGGGGGGAAGUCUGGACGGGCAACGGCGGGGGGGGGAAGAAGGGUUUCGGGACGUAAAGAUCUGUUGUAGAAGGAGAAAGAGUGUGGGAGGGAAAAGUUCACACUGUGACGGUACCUAAUCAGAAAGGGACGGCUAACUACGUG